GCCCGAGUGGCGGAAUUGGUAGACGCAUGCGACUCAAAAUCGUAUGUCCUUUGGACGUGGGGGUUCGAGUCCCCCCUCGGGUA
rnacentral:tRNA from 1 species